UUACGGGAGGCAGCAGUAGGGAAUCUUCCGCAAUGGGCGAAAGCCUGACGGAGCAACGCCGCGUGAGUGAAGAAGGCCUUCGGGUUGUAAAGCUCUGUCUUAUGGGAAGAAGCAAGUGACGGUACCAUAAGAGGAAGCCACGGCUAACUACGUGCCAGCAGCCGCGGUAAUACGUAGGUGGCAAGCGUUGUCCGGAAUUACUGGGCGCAAAGGGUGCGCAGGCGGAUGCUUAAGUCGGAUGUGAAAUCUUAAGGCUCAACCUUAAGUUUGCAUUUGAAACUGGGCAUCUUGAGUGCAGGAGAGGGCAGUGGAAUUCCUAGUGUAGCGGUGAAAUGCGUAGAUAUUAGGAGGAACACCAGUGGCGAAGGCGGCUGCCUGGACUGUAACUGACGCUGAGGCACGAAAGCGUGGGGAGUGAACAGGAUUAGAUACCCUAGUA
rnacentral:rRNA from 1 species